GAUGAAGAACGUAGCGAAAUGCGAUAAGUAAUGUGAAUUGCAGAGUUCAGUGAAUCAUCGAAUCUUUGAACGCACAUUGCGCCCGCCAGUAUUCUGGCGGGCAUGCCUGUCUGAGCGUCAUUUCAACCCUCAUGCCCCUAGGGCGUGGUGUUGGGGAUCGGCCAAAGCCCGCGAGGGACGGCCGGCCCCUAAAUCUAGUGGCGGACCCGUCGUGGCCUCCUCUGCGAAGUAGUGAUAUUCCGCAUCGGAGAGCGAUGAGCCCCUGCCGUUAAACCCCCAACUUUCCAAGGUUGACCUCAGAUCAGGUAGGAAUACCCGCUGAACUUAAGCAUAUCAAUAAGCGGAGGA
rnacentral:misc_RNA from 1 species